UAAACAAACCAACAGGUGCUUACAAUGAUUCACUUUAAGAUUUCUACUACAUUAAAACAACAGUUACUGGGAUGAAACUUAAAAGCAAAUAGAUGAAGUAAACAGAUGAAGUAAAAAGAUAUGUAUCGGAACACUUUUUUGGCUUCACUCUGCGUUUGCAUUUUACUGGCUUCCUGUUCUGUUUCUGCACGCCCUAUGAAAUCAGUGAGAAUCGUGCAUGUGCAGUCAGCACGCCUGGAGGACAUUAUUCGUGACGCCAGCAGGCCCUCGGGCUAUGUGGACCCUGAAUUGAAACGAGCUGUACGCCGACUUAUGAUGACUGUCUAAGGUGAAAGGUAGCAAACAGAGAUGCAUCAAACUGCCACCUGCAACCUUAUUUUCUGACACUAUUAUUGCCAAUGGGCAGCCCUCAAGAUUCAUAAGUCUGUCCAGGAGUGGGAACACGUGGAUAAUGGUGUCCAUUGAUCAGAGAGAGAAGAAUUUCUAAACGAAGGUGGACAAGUCUAACUCCUGGGCCUUGGAUGUGUGGCUUUUGAAUGCAGAGAACAUCAAACAUAUAUAAACACUCUCUCUACGAUCUCCCGCCGAUCCUUAAAAAAGCUUGUACCGCUCUGAGAUGAACUGUUGGUUUUUGACAGUAAGCCAGGAUUUGCCGUAGGAGAGAGGUUCGCAGUCAGAGACAAUGAUCAUAUAAAAUGUAGGAAACUGCUUUUUGGCGGCCAACCCGGCUGUGCGCACGCAUGGGCAUACAUAAUGCCAUCCCGCUGGCGGCCAAGGAAGUGCGCGCGCACGCCCCCCCCCCCCCCCCCCCCCCAUGCUCUGGCUACUCGCCUGAGAAAUAAACCUUCAUGCCAGAGAUUCAAGUCUUUGCAUGCAUAUUAUGCGUUUGUUGUUGACGUUUCUAUUCUAUGAGAUUCACGUUUUGAUUGCCUGCAACGCAUAUUACGGAAAGAUAUGUUCAUGUAACAUUUCUGUUUCUCGAAAUUUGUAAUACGUGACGGACUUUGUAGUAGAAUUGCCCCUUUUGUAAUAAAAAAAGCUAACUCAGUUUAUAAUACGUAAUAAAAAAACGUUGACGCUGUACCA